UUGCUGCCUGAUGGUGGAUGAAGCAGUGGAAAAGAGAAUUGUAUCGUUGUGCUUGACACUAGGGGUUUAGUUGGAAUUGUUGCUUCGUAGCUGUGCUCGGCCCACUUUUAAUGUUAAGGGACACAGCAUUCUCAGAGUCGUCAAACUAGCAAGGGUUUAGAGACCAUCUGAUUUAAUCCCCUCUUUUCCAGAUGCACAGGGAGGCGCAGUGAUUUGCCUAGGUCACAUAGUGCAUUUAUGGCAGACCUAAGAAUUGGAUUUCUUGAUUCUCAAGCCAGACACUGUCCAUUACACUAUGUCGACUGUGUCUAAGGAAUUACUAUGCUUGCUUUGGGGACAGUAAGGAGGAUGAGUUAGACAGAGUGGGGAUGUCAGUGUAUGGAGUCUUAGGUUUCUGUUUUCCUGACUUUUCGCUUUUCUGAUGACCCUCUUGGUGCCUGGAAAGAAUGAUAAGGUCAUGGAUGGUGGGGUGGAGAAUGUCAUGUGAAUUGGCUGCCCUCUGCUUUCUACCAUUCUGAGCCAACAAUAAACUUCAGGAGCUGUGGACCAGAGAUGUGGCCAUCAGAGAGGGGAGGGCUGAGCUAGAUUGUUUGUAUGAAAGAGGCAAGAUUUUCUAUCUCCUAUGGCUAUAUUUUAUGUCACAGGCUCUCAGAGUUUAGAACCUCAUGUGCCCUCUCUCUUUGGCUUUUUUUCCUACUGCUCAGGGCCCAGCUGUGCUGCUGUGUUAACCUGGAGGCAUUAUGGAACAGUCUAAUAUGGUCUCGCCACUGCAGAGCUGGGGGCUGGAGAGGUGAUGAAUGAGGCCUCUGCUCCUGCGUCACCUGCUGCACUCUACACCGUCCCCUGCAGACCUGUGUUCCCUUCUCCUGUUUGCCUGCUGGCCCUGGGGACCCCAGCCCUGCCUGCCCACAGUUCCUCAGACUGGGCAGGUGGCACUGGAGCUGGGGGCCUGGAGUGGGGGUUAGGUGAGAGGGAGGGACUGACCUUGAGGUAGGGGCAGGAAUCGACCCCAGCCUCUGGGGUAGGAUGGAAGGAAUGGUCUUCUUGGCAUCACCCCUCACCAGUCUGAUAAAUAAUCAAUCUGCUGUACCUCACCCUGCUUAUGCCACCUCCCAGGAGUGUGGCCAGGGCAGAGUCCUAGGUAGGGCUGGAGCUGGGGACUGGGCUUCGUUCUCUCCCUGGAGGCGUUUCUGUCCAUCAGCUCCUUCUGUCCAUCUGCUAGCCCCAGGCCCCUUCUCCUACCUGCUAUGUUAGGAGGCAGAGAAUGAGGAGCUACCCACUGGCCCCAAGGUGGGGGUGUGGAGCAAGUGGGCAGAAGUAUGUGGCCCUGAGCUGGGUGCGUGACUCACAGCCCUCUCCCUGUGCCAGCCACUUCUACCACCACCAUAUCAGCAGCAGAGACCAUAUUUCUCUGAAUGGAAAAUCUUGGAGGUGUCAGCUGGGACAAGGAAGGAUGUGGAGGCAGGAGCUGCAUUCUCCCUAGAGCCAGUACCAGGGUCAGCUCUGCCCAGUGCAGUGGUGAAGUUGGGGGACAGGGGUUGAUCUAGGGAGGAAUAGCAUCCCCUCCAUCCUUUGCCCUACUGCCUCGCUCCACAUACCCAACAAAGACAGUCCUUCCUAGCCAUGGAGCCCAGCAAGACAGGGCCAUGAGGUGCCAGGGCCGGAGAGUAGGUUCCUUCCUGGGCCCCAGGCCAGCAUCUUUGGACUACUGCCCCCUCCCAGCCUCUACCCUGAGGUUCAAAAGGCCACACCACUGAGGCUGUUCCAGCACACGUGUCCACUUUUGAGCUGAAUCACCGGCCUGGCAGCCCCAAGCCUCUGUGGCCUUUGGGUUAGAUGAAGGGGCUUGUUUUGUGCACCAGGACCAAAGUUACCUCCCUGACUUUGUGACCUUUGCCCUGUGGUUACUUUUGUCUGCUGCAUCUGGGAGGAGAUGAAGUUGGAGAGCUUGACUGUAGAUGGAGGGGCCCUAAGCCCAGACCCCUGGGCUACCCUGAUGCUGAGGAGGCCCUGAGUACCUGCGGUGGGGUGAGGCCAGAGUGAGCUCCAGCUCAGAUGAUCAGGGAGAAGGCUGCACCAGUCUCAUUGGAUUCUUCACACCAGCUGGUGCUGAAGGUUCAGGGGUUGAAGUUGAAAGAAGCCCGUGGGGUCCUCCAUAAAGGACUCAAGGUGCUGGCCUUCCAACAGCCUGGUAAGAGUGGCUUUCUCCUCUAGAUUUGCAUAAUGCUUUGCAUCUCAUUUGAAUACUAUUAAUUUGGUGUCAGGCUAGGUUGGCAUGGUGUAGGAAAGAGAACAGCUGGCCUUCUCCAUCCCCUCUGUACCACAGAGCUUAUUCUAAGCAUAGCCUUCUGCAACUGGGGGGCAUGAGGCCUCCACUUUCACCAUCCCCUUCAUGUUCCCUGACACUUAGUCUCUUAGUGAAGCCAGCUCCUAAAAGCCAAGGCUGCCUGGCAUUGUGGCCACCUGCAGGGUUAUGCUGAAGGAAGAAGAAAGGGUCCCCCAAGGUCACUCUCACCAGACCCAGAGACACCAUGGGAGGAUGCUGGGGGCCUUUGUCAUCCCAAGCAAUCAAGGCAGCUUGGCUUGGAAAGGGUCCAAAGAUAAUAACCAAGAGAGGGAGGGAACAAAGACAGGCGAUAAUCCCAGAGAAAUAUAGAGGGCUCUAGAAAUAAAAUCCUCUGAACUCAAUAUUUCUAGUGCUUGAACUUACAUAAAAUACAUCUGUCCAGAGGCAUUGGGUUUAUGGUGCUGCUCUGGGGCUGGGAACCUGGUACCAGGUUGAUGGCCAUGUGAUGAGAGAGUGAGUCACCAGGUGGGGUGAGUUCCUGAGAAAGAGGGAAGAGGCCCCGGGUGCAUCCUGUGGGCUGCCCCUGGCAGGUGGGCAUCGGGAGGCUACAGGGAGAUGCGGAUGAGUUAUUUAAUUGAAGAGGAAGAGAAGUGCAUUCCAUGCAGAGGGAACAGCAUGUACAUCGGUAGGCAGGACUAAGAGAUGGUUAGUGUAGCUGGAUGGCAGCAAACAAGAGUUGUGGUGUGGGAUGUAGCUGGAGAGCUGGGGUGUAGCAAAGCUUAGUGGCUGGUAUGAAAUCUCUAGGAGUCCUACCUGCCCAUCCAUCUGUCCAUUUAUUCGUUCGUCCUUCACCCUACUACCUCCCAAUUCAUUCAUCACCCACUCAUUCAUUUACUGAAUGAGUGAGCACUUAUUGAGCACUGUGUGUAUGCCAGGACCUGAACUAGCUACUGGAGAGGGAGAGCCCUCAAGGAGCACCCAGACUGGGGAGGGGAAACAGCCCCAACACCCUGUAAGACAGCAUGUUUAUCUCCACAAGGUACUUAAACAAGGCUCUGGAAGCCCUAGAGGCCAAGUCUCCCAUGCUUCAAGCUUCCCAAGGCAAGGGUCCUUCAUUACCUCCGGGGAGAUCUUCCAUUCACACAGAUCCUCCUGGCAUCUAAUACUAUUCCUUCCUGCUACAAAAGCAGCCCGCUUCUUAUAGCCCCAGAGUGGCAGGGAGUGUUUCUGAUGUUCCUUCUCAUUGACCCUUUAUUUGGGCCUUAGAGACAUCACAGUCUCAGGAGAACCCAGGGGAAGUGAUAUGAGAACAUGGUCAAGUCUCCCUUAGACAUCAGAACCCAGGCUUAGAUACACUUCUAGCCACUUCCUUUUCUGGGCAUGAAAAUAGGACAGAAAUUCCCAAUGUCCCUUAAUUCAGCAUAUUCCCUCCCCCACUCCUCCUUGAACUACUUGUCCUCUAUUUGUGACAUCACAAUGGUCUCUAUGGCAACUGAUUGUGAGGUCACCAGUCCUUAAAGCAACAGAAUAUGUGGGUCCAGACAAUGGCCUGCAAGAGAAAGGAAGAAUACAAAAUGGAAGCCUGGGAUAGAGAUCAUCUCCUAGGAAAGGGGGAGGCCACCCAAGGCCUGUCAGGGGGAGGGCUCCACUUCUCAGCCCAUCUGCAGUAGGUCCACAUUCGGGGUAGGCAAGAGCAAGGCCUGCUGGAAAGGGAAACUGCUCAUCAAGAAACUGAGGGAGGCUGGGCACGGUGGUUCAUGCCUGUAAUCCCAGCACUCUGGAAGUCCAAGGCUGGCCAUGGGGGUCUCCACCAGCAGCUGAGGUGGAGAGAGAGGAGAGCUUUGUAGGAACAGAGAAAGGAAUGUCACAAGGAAGGCAGCUGACCAGGCUUCCAGACAGACAGGGGAAUCUUUUCAUCAUGGUCUCCUUCACUGCUUUCCAAAUCUCAUUUAACCUCCAUGUUUCUUGCUGCAAUUUCAGUUGGUGUCUUUAGGGGCAGGGGAGUCAAUUGGUCACUGUUGGCUUCUUGCAGACUUGAACCCCAAGUCUGACCACAUUUUUGCAAGACCCAUCGGGAGAAGGAUCCUCCCCUUUCUGAAAGAACAAUAUUCUGGAGGGGCUCUUCUUGACUGAUGUUUAGUAGGCUCUUCUGCUGGAUAAUUAUGCCUCAAACAACCCCAAGCAGCUACCGCAUGAGGUCUUCACAUCCAUCUGCCUGCCUCCAGGAGCACUUUCUAAGCUAUCUCCCAGAGAUAGGGCUCACCCUUAUUCCUGAGAGCCUCCGGUGAGGAGGGUGCCCUAGCUCCCAUAGUAACCCCAGAAUUAGUCUCCUUAAAGGCUGGGGAUCAUGGCUUGUUCAAUAGUUUUUCUUCAGGUUCGGGCAUAUAGAAGGGGCUCAAUAAAUAGUCACAGAAUCAAUAACUAUUACAAAAGCCCCAUUGAUGGAAUGCUCGCUCCGUACCAAGGCUGAGAAGGGUGAUCUGUCACCCAAAGUAGGACCCCUUUGUUGCUCCCUGAACCAACAACCCAGAAGAGCCUGCCAGUUUUGUAGUUUUGUUUUUCCUUUUCUUGCUAUUUGGCCAGGAGCAGCAGUAGCAGCAGCUCCAAGAACAGCACUGGCUCCUUCUUAGUCCCAUGGAAGCACAGAUCAACAUCAUUGCCCUUGCAAACUUCUCUCAGCUUAGGAGAGUCUACUCGCUCUUUGCACAUUGUUGACAUGAAAUGAAUAUUAAACACCAAACCUCAUAGAGGCCAGCCCUGCUGGGCGAGCAAUGAA
rnacentral:lncRNA from 1 species